AUGGGGAGUAAUGGCGGUGUGGAUCAUUUGUCAAAAGAAAUAGUUGAAGAAGGUCUUAGCAGCCAAGAGAUGGAUGUGGGUUUUCAACAGAUUGGUGGUGGUGGUGUUGAUGAAUCUGUGGUGGAAAAGGAGACUCCAGAUGAACAGUUAAAUGCAGGUUAUUUGGAAGAGCCAAAGGAUCAGAAGAAUUCAACGCGGCAGUCAGUUUUAGAGAUCUCUCAGUCAAAACAGAUUGGUGGUGGUGGUGUUGAUGAAUCUGUGGUGGAAGAGGAGACUCCAGAUGAACAGUUAAAUGCAGGUUAUUUGGAAGAGCCAAAUGAUCAGAAGAAUUCAAUGCGGCAGUCAGUUUUAGAGAUCUCUCAGUCAAAAGAAAUGAAUGUUUGUUCUUCACCUCGAAGAGGUUUGUGCUUGGUAAUCUUUAGUUUUGGUUCCUUUUGGUUACUUAACAACAGUUCAGAGUUUCUUUAUUGACUUGAUUUUAUUUAUUUAUUUAUUUAAAGUUUCUUCUUUUAUUAGUUAUGCAUUUAGGAACUAAGAAUUAAGUUUGUCUAUGAAGAUAGUUGAGAAGGGUCUUAUUUGCAUUGGAAUCUAUUCUCUUGAAUGUAUUCUAGGUAGCACAGUACACAAUUUUCCUCACCGUAGGUUAUUUGGCUGAGAUAUUGGGUAUCAAAAUCAUCAGUUUGUUUAAUUUUAUGACACAAAAAUCAUAGGAGUUCUGUAUUUUUCGCAAGCUUCAUUUAAUUGUGGUGGAUCUAACGUUCAAUCACUAAACAAUAUAGUAUUUACAUUGAAUUCCCAUUCGUCCUGUUGUUUUGCAUUAAGUAACUACUUAAUUAAGCUACUCCCAGGUGUUGUAUCACUAUCAGUCGGAUAGACAUUCAUAUUGAAGAGGUGGAGUAGAAUGACAGGUGAUAGAAUGCGUGACUGGUUCAUGCUGCAUCCUCAAUUUUUAUUGCUUUAUCUAUACACUUGAUUUUACUCUGCAUUUUCAUAUUAUACUAUCUAAAUUGUGGAACAGUUUAUGCACUGAGCCCAAUUUGCAGGAAAUUGUUGUUAAAAUUUUGGCCAACCUGUAGCAUAAACAAAAUUCCUGAAAAUAAGCUCGCCAAACUAUUGGUUUCCUACGUCCAAAUGCAUUCUAAUAUGCCAUCAUUGAUUAAAGGAUAGCAAUUAAUUAUCUAUGUAUGGAGGGGCAUGCAGUAUUAGUCACUGUGAAAUGUUUGAUCUGUCUAAAAACAGCUCUACAUCGAGACCAAAAAAAUAAGUAUUUAACUAAUAAUUUGGAGGCUUUAUAUCUCAUUUUCCACUAUUUUGGUUUGUGCCUUUGUUUUGGGGGUUUAUGCCUUAAAUCAAGCUAAUUGUGAAGGUGACUCUCUGUCUGUUCUACCAAAGCAAUCAUCAUAUUGAAACUAAAGUUCACAUGCAUCACAUUUCUUCACUGGCAAAUUGGUAAACGAAAUUAUUUCUUUUUUGCUUUCGACAUAUUACCAGGUAUACCUAUAAAUUAUGUGAUGAGGCAAUGGGCAUCACCAUUGUCAUCAUUCUCUGAUCAUUUGCAAUAUGAAUUCAUUGUUAAUUUUUCCUUAUUAGCUGAAGUUUGUUUGCUUUCAAAUGAGAUGCUUUUAUACAAAGUUAACAACUUCUUGUUAAUAAAAUUACAUAAGUUUGGAAUAUGGUGCCAGCUUGUUUGAUGCGGCUAGUGUGGAAGGAGCAGAAUUCCCACAUGUUUGGGGACACCAAGAAAUCUUUAGAGCAAUUGAAAUCCUCUUUCCUAUGCACCUUGUUUUAGUGGGUGUGGGUUUGGGGAUUCACUCAUUAUACUUCCAUUUUUGAGUUUCAUAACUCUAAGUUUUUGUGAUUGAUUAUUUGUAAUCUCUUGGUUACUUUGUGUUCAUCAUCAUGAACAUGAAGUAAGUUUUUUUCUUAAUAAAACUUUAUGACUUAUCAAAAAAAUUGACAUGAAAGAUAUUUUUUCACUGUUUAUGAUUGAACAGAUACUACAAUGACUAAUUAUAUUUUGAAAAUUUGAUGAUAUACUCUACCAAAGAAAGCCUUAUUUACUACAUACACACAUAUAUCACGGUUUAUGAUUAAACAGAUACUUCAAUGACUAAUUAUAUUUUGAAAAUUUGAUAAUAUACUCUACCAAAGAAAGCCUUAAUUACUACAUAGACACAGACACACACGCGUGCGCACACACACACACACACACAUAAAUAGAAUCUCUUCCUCUUGUAAAAACAGGUGGAGGGUUGAAAUCAUGGGUUCAAGAUCUACGGGAUGUAUCUGUAACAUACCAAUAAAAAAAUAAUAGCUAUUUAUACAGUGUUCAUGUGUUUUGAAAUUAACAAGUUCAGAUCUAUAAUCAGUUAUAAUAAAUAUUUCAUCUUGAAUUUUAAGCUUGAUGGGCUUGGGAAUGUUUCAAUUUUAUUUAUUGGUUUAAUUUUGAGAGGUAAACACAAGGCACCAUGCUAGCCGCUACGAAUGUCAUUAGUCCAUACCACUAUGCUUGGACCACAUGGACAGAUGAUUUCAUUUUGUUACUUGUAAAUCUUAUUCCAUGCGUUCACUGAUGUCAAAGCAUCUAUUCUUGAAGGUCUGGACCAUUGCAUCACUGCACCUGUUGGCAUUCACAGAAAUCUACUAUUCGAUGACCAUGGGAUUUCAUUCACUAGAUCCAUGACGGAAAAGAAGGAAGCUCCAAGGCAUGACUUCAAGUUGGAUAGGCUCUCAGAGCGUGAAAAGGUAGACAAUAGAAUCAAAUGUGUUGCAAGUUCGUGAUCCUUGUGUCAGCUUAUAUAUUCAGAGUGAUGACUUUACCAAAUACAUGAGUUUGGCAUUUUUUAUACACAUGAAACAUGCAUGACCAAGAUUUUUAUGUCUGCACAGUUGCAUGCUGUCUCUAAUUUAUUUUAUGGGGAAUGACAUAAUCCCUCUUGUGUGGCCUUCGAUCCUGUGCCUGUUGUUUAAUCUUCAAAGAAUAGCAUCAUGCCUCCAUCAUUAUCAUUACCAAGUGAUGUAAUAGCUGCAAUAAUUGAGGCUACCAGAUAUUGACCCCACCUCAUCUGUGAACAAUAGUUUAUAUUAUGAAUGGUUCUAUUUCUCUGUAACUUUUUGUAGUACACCUCCUGGCAUUUUGAUGAGCCAAUAUCUGUUAAAGGCUUUGUUGAGGAACUCAUAACACAUAGGGUUCUUUGUUCCUCCAUUUUCUAGACCUCAGUGCUUGUCUUUGUGGUUCAUGUAUGGUUUUUCUUUUACUGAUCAUGAUUACUUCUUGUGUUGGUAUUCAGAAAAAUCUUAUUGUGAACCUAGUAAAGAUACAAAAUGAUGGUACGGUAGAAGUUGAUAUCACCAAAAGCACACCUGUAGCUUCGGAAUUUUUGGAGCUUCAUACUGCAGAAAGGACACCUAUCAAUAUUGAUGUUAUCACUUCUGAUACCAAUAAAUCAAUUCCCAAGUUGAAUAUUGCCCUUCUUGUGGUCGGCACAAGAGGAGAUGUACAGCCUUUCCUAGCUAUAGCAAAGAGACUUCAGGUAGUUGCAAUAAUUUGCUAGUUUACCGUGUUGCAUUGUUUUGUCAAGAUAACUUGUUUAUGUCACCAAUUCCAGGGUCUUAUCACAUACCCCUAGGUGUUUAAAGUUUUAAUAUAAUGACAUGAAUUUUGUUUAGGAGUUGGUUUCUUCUAGAAUUUAAAUUUAGUGCAUCAAUUCAUUUUAUGGCUGACCUGACAAUCUACAAAAAUGGGGUGGAAAAUUUGCUUUUUUGUGUUAUUGGUCUCUAUCUUAUUCAGUUGGGUGGGUUUCUCGGUUGUAUUUUUUUUUUCCUAGGUAAUCAAUCCACAGAUAGGUAUAUCAUUUCUGUACAGGAGUGCUUUCUAAUUUAACUCUCAGUUGUUGCUUCUGUAUUCUGCAACUGAUAUUUUUCAAUUUUAGGGCUACUGGGAUGGUGAAAAGCUUUUUAUUUGCAUCUAUAAUCCAUUCAAAUUGAAACUGAUCUUAUAUCAUUACACUUAGGCAGGCAUAAUAAAUCUCUGAUGUCACAAUAUCAUGCUUCUUUCCCUAAUUUAUAGGAAGACAGGACCUUGGUCCUUGGCAGUUUCUUCUCUUCUUUAUCUUUAAUUAUUUGGUAUGUUAUUGAAAAUGAUUCAGUGUUCAUUUGCAGGAGUUUGGUCAUCGUGUCAGGUUGGCUACUCAUGCUAACUUCAGCACCUUUGUAAAGUCGUCAGGGGUAGAAUUCUAUCCUUUGGGUGGCGAUCCUCGUGUUUUGGCAGGAUGUAAGAGGUCCCCAAUUUUAAAAUUCCUGUUACGUCAAUGUAUCAUUGCAAUUUAUUUAUCAGAAAAAAAAAAAAGUUUUCAUUGCAAUUUUUACAUGAUACACAGUUCUGACGAGUGGGGUUGUGUAUACAUGGUUUACUCUCCAGGGGUGGGUCCAAUGGGCCUUGCCAUGGUGAGAUUCCACAUCUUCCAAAAAAAAAAAAUCAUUGCAAUUUAAUUUGUUUCUUGUGGUCACUCUGUUAACAGAUUGCUUUGUAUGCUCUUUCUUUUACUAUUUCUCUAUGGCCUUUAGGAACCCAUAACACAGUGCACUAACAACUUGCUGGCAAGUAAUAUUUCAUUAUUUUUUCUGAAUAUUGUGAGAAGGGCCAAAUUAAUUUAUUCUUUAGUCCUUUUUUCAUUUUGCUUCGUAAAUUCACCCAGCCACCCAAGGCAAUUUGAACCCCUGAUGCUGGAUGGAAGCAUAUAUCUGGUUGUAGCCAGCUUCUAAAUGAUUAAAUAACCCUAGAAUCCACUAGGGGCCCUGGAAUCUGCUAGGAAUCCCCAAGUCCAAGAGGAAAAGGGGAGACUCUCCUAGAAAAUUAUAUUGACAUUGAAAAUGAUUGUUAAAACUCUCUCAAAUUCCCAAGUUGAAUAUUGCCCUUCUUGUGGUCGGCACAAGAGGAGAUGUACAGCCUUUCCUAGCUAUAGCAAAGAGACUUCAGGUAGUUGCAAUAAUUUGCUAGUUUACCGUGUUGCAUUGUUUUGUCAAGAUAACUUGUUUAUGUCACCAAUUCCAGGGUCUUAUCACAUACCCCUAGGUGUUUAAAGUUUUAAUAUAAUGACAUGAAUUUUGUUUAGGAGUUGGUUUCUUCUAGAAUUUAAAUUUAGUGCAUCAAUUCAUUUUAUGGCUGACCUGACAAUCUACAAAAAUGGGGUGGAAAAUUUGCUUUUUUGUGUUAUUGGUCUCUAUCUUAUUCAGUUGGGUGGGUUUCUCGGUUGUAUUUUUUUUUUCCUAGGUAAUCAAUCCACAGAUAGGUAUAUCAUUUCUGUACAGGAGUGCUUUCUAAUUUAACUCUCAGUUGUUGCUUCUGUAUUCUGCAACUGAUAUUUUUCAAUUUUAGGGCUACUGGGAUGGUGAAAAGCUUUUUAUUUGCAUCUAUAAUCCAUUCAAAUUGAAACUGAUCUUAUAUCAUUACACUUAGGCAGGCAUAAUAAAUCUCUGAUGUCACAAUAUCAUGCUUCUUUCCCUAAUUUAUAGGAAGACAGGACCUUGGUCCUUGGCAGUUUCUUCUCUUCUUUAUCUUUAAUUAUUUGGUAUGUUAUUGAAAAUGAUUCAGUGUUCAUUUGCAGGAGUUUGGUCAUCGUGUCAGGUUGGCUACUCAUGCUAACUUCAGCACCUUUGUAAAGUCGUCAGGGGUAGAAUUCUAUCCUUUGGGUGGCGAUCCUCGUGUUUUGGCAGGAUGUAAGAGGUCCCCAAUUUUAAAAUUCCUGUUACGUCAAUGUAUCAUUGCAAUUUAUUUAUCAGAAAAAAAAAAAAGUUUUCAUUGCAAUUUUUACAUGAUACACAGUUCUGACGAGUGGGGUUGUGUAUACAUGGUUUACUCUCCAGGGGUGGGUCCAAUGGGCCUUGCCAUGGUGAGAUUCCACAUCUUCCAAAAAAAAAAAAUCAUUGCAAUUUAAUUUGUUUCUUGUGGUCACUCUGUUAACAGAUUGCUUUGUAUGCUCUUUCUUUUACUAUUUCUCUAUGGCCUUUAGGAACCCAUAACACAGUGCACUAACAACUUGCUGGCAAGUAAUAUUUCAUUAUUUUUUCUGAAUAUUGUGAGAAGGGCCAAAUUAAUUUAUUCUUUAGUCCUUUUUUCAUUUUGCUUCGUAAAUUCACCCAGCCACCCAAGGCAAUUUGAACCCCUGAUGCUGGAUGGAAGCAUAUAUCUGGUUGUAGCCAGCUUCUAAAUGAUUAAAUAACCCUAGAAUCCACUAGGGGCCCUGGAAUCUGCUAGGAAUCCCCAAGUCCAAGAGGAAAAGGGGAGACUCUCCUAGAAAAUUAUAUUGACAUUGAAAAUGAUUGUUAAAACUCUCUCACGGAGGCUACUACAUCACAUUAAUACCAAAAGCUUAGAUACAGGAAAUAUAAGAAAAUAGUCAAAUUCUUUGGAAACCAUCAAAAUCAAGUGAAGACUUGGACUGUUUUCUGACUUAUUUAUUGGCUUUCUUGGUCUUCUAUCAACCAUGUUUGUCCAAAUGAUCAAGAGUUAUGCAAAAUUCAUCACACUUAUCCCUAAAAAAAAUGUAGCAAUUGAAGUCAAGGAUUUUUGCCCCAUUAGUCUUGUUGGGGGGUUCAUAAAAUCAUUGCUAAGGUCUUAGCCACUAGACUUCGCAUAGUCAUGGAAGAUAUAAUUUCAGCUUCACAGAAUGCUUUUGUGAGGGAUAGGUAGAUUCUUGACCCAGUACUUAUUGCUAAUGAAUGCCGUGACAAUAGAUUGAAAACUAGUUCCAGAGCUACUUUGCAAGUUAGAUGUUGAGAAGGCCUUUGAUCAUGUAAACUGGAGAUUUCUUAUGCAGUUACUAGAACAGGGUGGGUUCUCUGCUAAAUGGCGGUGGUGGAUUUUCUUUUGUAUAUCUACAGUUCGCUUCUUUAUUAUGAUAAAUGGCUCUCCUUGUGGGUUUUUUGAGAGUUCGAGGGGGUUGAGACAAGGUGACCUAUUGUCCCCUUUGUUGUUUGUCUUGUUGGGAGAAUGUCGAAUAAAGCUGUCCAUGAUGGUCACAUGUCAGGAUUUGGUGUGGGUCGUUUAGAGGGAAGAUCUUUGGCGGUGUCUCAUCUUCUCUUUGUGGAUGACACUUUAAUUUUUUGUGACGCUGAUCUGGAUCAAUUUUUGUUUCUCCAGAUGAUCCUCAUUUGGUUUGAGGCAGUCUCUAGUCUAAAGAUAAUUUGGGCAAGUCAGAAUUGAUUCCUGUUGGUAUGGUGCAUAAUUUGGACUUAUUGUUGAAUGUCCUUGGCUGUAAAUAAGGUACUCUUCCAAUGAAGUAGGUCUUCCUUUGGGAGCUAAAUUCAAGGAUAAGACAAUAUGGAAUCCAUUUCUUGAUAAGAUAGAAUGGAGAUUAGCAGGAUGGAAAUGUUUGUAUUUAUCCAAGGGAGGUAGAGUCACUUUAAUUAAAAGCACUCUAUCUAACAUAUCCAUUUAUUUUCUAUUUUUAUUUCCUAUUCUUGCAGCUGUGGCUAACCGAAUUGAGAAACUUCAGAGGAAUUUCUUAUGGGGUGGCAUUGGAGAUGAACCAAAAUUCCAUUUGUUAAAUGGGCUUCUGUCUGCACCCCCAUUGUUUCGGUUGGCUUGGGGAUAAGGAAGGUAAGACUUUUUAAUGAAGCUUUGCUUGGGAAGUGGCUAUGGAGAUUUGGGAUGGAGAGGGAUGCUCUUUGGAGGCAAGUGAUAGGGGUAAAAUAUGGUUGUGAAUGGGGUGGCUGAUGUACUAGGCCCGUUAAUAGUCCAUAUGGUGUUGGCUUGUGGAAAAAUAUUAGUUGGGGAUGGCCUUCUUUUUCUCGCCACAUUCUAUAUGAUAUUGGGGAUGGGUCUAGGUGAAAUUUUGGCAAGACCGUUGGUGUGGUGAGACAUCUCUAGCAGUCAGCUAUCCUGAAUUGUUUAGAUUUUGCCGAGACAAGGAGGUUAGUGUGGCUGAGCUUAUGAAGUUUGAUACUGGAGUCUUGUUUUGGGAUGUAAGUUUCUUUAGGGGUGUGCAUGCUCGAGAAUUAGAGGCAUUGGCCAGUUUCAUGGAUACCAUAUACUAGAAAGCACGGGUGAGGCUCUAGGGCUGCCGCACCCUCACUGGACUCACGGCGACAUGGCAACGCUCCUUUGACAACCCGAUUCGGCCCCUUUUUUUCCUCUGAUUCACGCCGAUUUGGGCCGAAACUAGUCGAAAUCAUGGCCAAAAUAUAUGUUAAAAAAAUAAUAAAAAUAAACUUGUGGGUUGUAUUGUAAUUUAUGAAUAUCAUGUUUUAGUUAUUAUCUACUAUUACUCUUAAAUUGGUAUAUAUUUACAAUUAUAUGAAAAAGUAUGCUUAGCAAUAUAUAGAAAAUAUAAAUAAAAAUAUUUUUAAUAAUUUUUUAAUUGCUGCAUCCCGCCACAUUUGUGCCAUACUUUUUCAAAAAUUGCCGAAUUUCGCACCUGUAUCUGUAUCCGCACUUGCACUUAAAUCCAAAUAUGCACUUGUGCUUCGUAGACCAUAUAUGGUGCUUCGGUGAAAGGGUUUGGUGAUGAUAAGAUGUGCUGGAAACCUGAUAGCGAGAAGGGCUUCAUGGUUAAGGAUUAUUAUAGUGUCUUAGUGGGCUUUAAUGACUAUUGCUUUCCUUGGAAAAGUAUUUGGAAUCAGAAGAUUCUUUCUCAAGUAGCUUUCUUUGUUUGGACUGCUGCUGUUUCAGGGAAAUGCUUUACGAUUGACAAUUUACAAAAAAGGAAGGGUUGGAUAUUAGAUUGGUGCUACAUGUGCAAGUAUAAUGGUGAAUUGGUUGAUCAUCUUUUUCUUCAUUGUCCAAUUGCAAUGGAUCUGUGGGCUAUGGUGUUUGGUUUGUUUAAAGUGAGCUGGGUUAUGCUGCAAUUUGUAGUGAGGCUUCUAGCAUGUUGGCAAGGCAGAUUUGGUCGUCAACAAAAUGGUUAUAUAUGGUUGAUGGUUCCCCAUUGCUUAUUGUGGUGUCUUUGGAGGGAGAGAAAUAGUAGGUGCUUUGAAGAUAAGGGGAGAUCCAUAUCAGACUUGAAACUAUUUUUCUUUAUAACUUUAAUGGAUUGGUUGGCUGCAUUGUAGAACCAACCAUUUUUAUCUUUUCUUGAUUUUCUAGAUUCUUGUAAUUUUUGUUCUUGAUUGUUUGACCCCCUCGUACACUCCCUGUGUACUAGGGUGUUCCCCUUUUUGAUAUCAAUAAACUUCUUAGUUGUAAAAAAUAAAUCACUUUAUAGUUGUACCUUGGAAAUGGCUUUAAGCGUUAAAGAGCUUUUCAGUUAAAAUUUUUUUUUUUUUUAAAUAAAUUUUUUUAAUUUUUUUAAUUUUUUUUUAUCAUAAAAUUUUUAUAACUAAAAAUCUGCUUUCUAUAGCAAUGCCAAGUAGGCUCUAAGUUGUAGAACAAUUUUGUUGGUAACUAUGAGGAUAGAAGUUGUUGGGGUUGAAUACUUGAAAGAAUUGUGUUGGAAUACACGUGUGAGUGGAGUCCCACGUGAAAUAAUAAUGAGAAAAGUGAGUGGUUAAUAUAAUAUAGCUGGACCCAAGCUCAUAAUUUUAAGCUUUUGGGUUUGGUGGUGUCCUUAUAUGUUAUAUUAACUACUCAAUUAAAGUCCCUAAGGUGUUAUCUCUUGAACAAAUGGUAUUAGAGCCUAGGUGGGAUGUGGCAAAGGUGGCAAGGUGUUUAGGGUUCCCUUUUAUAGUUAGAGUGGGGAUAGAGCAAGCCUAAAAGGCACGUAGAAUUGAUCUUGGAUAAAGGCCCAACAAAGGAGCAUUGCCUAAUGGUGCCAAAUCACUAUGUGGCGUAAGGUUCCCAUGGACAUGGAAGUGCAAGCCAAGUUCCCAUGGAGAAGCGUGUAGGGUUGACAUGUGAUUCCAUGGAUGGCGUACGAGAGGCCCAUGGAUGACAUGUGGGUGAUGGAAAAAGUCCUUAGGCAAGGGAGGACUUGUUGGUGGCCUAUAAAGAGGUCUUGAGGCCUGUGAGAGGUAGACUCACACAUGAGGAGGAGAUUGUUGGGUAUACACGUGUGAGUGAAAUCCUACUUGGAAUAACAAUGAGAAGCGUGUGUGGCUAAUAUAAUAUAGUUGGGUCUAAACCCAAAAGCUUAAGUGUUUGGGCUAAGUGGUGUCUGUAUAUGUUAUACUACUCAAUUAGAGUCUCUCCAAGGUGCUCUCCCCCAACAAAUUGUAUGACGAUGAAGCAAAUUGUGAAGAAGUUUCGGAGAAGUUAUGUAUGAAGCAGCAUAUGAAUGCCUCAAUGCAUAUUAGUCGGAUUGGAUGUCUAUUAUAGGAAGUCAUUCUAUUUUUUCAGUCUAUGAUUUGAUGGAUGCUUGUAAUUUAUGUAUUUGAUUAUUUUGGUCCCUUGCUGUAUACUUCCCUUAUACUUGGGUGACUCAUUCUUAUGUCUUUGAAUCAAACUUUCUUUACUUAUCAAAAAAAAAAAAAAAAAUCUGUGGUAGGGUCUAUUGACAUAUCCCCCAUGAAGUUGCACAUUUCAUAAAAUUGACAAAAUGAAACUUAGCAUUGUAUGAAGCUUAGCAUUGUUUGAUGAUUUGGCAGGAGUGUAAUAAUCAUACUUUUGAAGAUAUUGUGAGAUCAAUAGAUCUUUUGAAGCCUACACUAGUUGGGACCUUAUUUCAAUGGGGUAGAAUUUGGGGUUUUACACAAUGUAUAUCCAUUUUUGAUUUUCUUCUUUCUAUUCAUAUCUCUUCUUGAGGUAUUUGUAUUUGUUUUAAGUUCAGAAUGUUCACCAUUGUGAACAUGAUGUCAUUUUUUAUGCAAUAAAUCUUUGAUUACUUAUAAAAAAAAAAAAAAAAAUGAAGCUUAUGGGGAAACUUGUUUGUAGAUUGGGUGGUGCUUGAAGCUAUAAAUAUAACAGGAGUCCUGUUGAUGUGGUAUAGAAGGACUGUAGAGAAAAUUGAUGAAACAAUAAGUAGAAUUUCUUUGUCUUACCUGCUGAAAAUUAUUGAGGAAGGUUUUUUGUGGGUUGCAGUGUGGUGUAUGGUCCAAAUGAUGAUAGUUAUUGAGAAAUUGAUUAGAAGAGCUGAGAGAGGUGAAUCAGAAGUGGGAAGUGGCCUGCUGUUUAGUAGGGAAUUUCAAUAAAGUUAGAUUUCCAAGUGAGAGGCUAGAAUGAAACUGCAAGUUCCUAGAUGAUAAUCAAAUUCCUUAUCUUCAAAACAAUCAAAUUCAAGAAUGAACUUGGAUUACUGGCUUAUUUAUUGGCUUUCUUGGUCUUUUUCCUAUUUUGCAUACUAGAAAUCUUAGACAGGAAAUAUGGAAAAAUUAAUAUAGUGCAAUUUCCUAGAUAAUAAUCAAAUUCUUAUCUGAAAACCCUCAAAUUGAAGAAAAGAACUUGGGAAUGUUUGCUGGCUUAUUUAUUGGUUUUCUUGGUCUUCUUCCUAUCUUACUUCUCCGAAUAAUCAAUUGCCAAGUAUCCUACAUCAACCCCAGACCUUGACCACUACCCCAUACUUAACAAGGUUGUAGCUGCCAUUUGGCCCAAAGCUAUUGGCAUUUCUUUAAAGACUUGACCAAAGAUGGUAUCUUCUCUUGGAAAUCCCNNNNNNNNNNNNNNNNNNNNNNNNNNNNNNNNNNNNNNNNNNNNNNNNNNNNNNNNNNNNNNNNNNNNNNNNNNNNNNNNNNNNNNNNNNNNNNNNNNNNNNNNNNNNNNNNNNNNNNNNNNNNNNNNNNNNNNNNNNNNNNNNNNNNNNNNNNNNNNNNNNNNNNNNNNNNNNNNNNNNNNNNNNNNNNNNNNNNNNNNNNNNNNNNNNNNNNNNNNNNNNNNNNNNNNNNNNNNNNNNNNNNNNNNNNNNNNNNNNNNNNNNNNNNNNNNNNNNNNNNNNNNNNNNNNNNNNNNNNNNNNNNNNNNNNNNNNNNNNNNNNNNNNNNNNNNNNNNNNNNNNNNNNNNNNNNNNNNNNNNNNNNNNNNNNNNNNNNNNNNNNNNNNNNNNNNNNNNNNNNNNNNNNNNNNNNNNNNNNNNNNNNNNNNNNNNNNNNNNNNNNNNNNNNNNNNNNNNNNNNNNNNNNNNNNNNNNNNNNNNNNNNNNNNNNNNNNNNNNNNNNNNNNNNNNNNNNNNNNNNNNNNNNNNNNNNNNNNNNNNNNNNNNNNNNNNNNNNNNNNNNNNNNNNNNNNNNNNNNNNNNNNNNNNNNNNNNNNNNNNNNNNNNNNNNNNNNNNNNNNNNNNNNNNNNNNNNNNNNNNNNNNNNNNNNNNNNNNNNNNNNNNNNNNNNNNNNNNNNNNNNNNNNNNNNNNNNNNNNNNNNNNNNNNNNNNNNNNNNNNNNNNNNNNNNNNNNNNNNNNNNNNNNNNNNNNNNNNNNNNNNNNNNNNNNNNNNNNNNNNNNNNNNNNNNNNNNNNNNNNNNNNNNNNNNNNNNNNNNNNNNNNNNNNNNNNNNNNNNNNNNNNNNNNNNNNNNNNNNNNNNNNNNNNNNNNNNNNNNNNNNNNNNNNNNNNNNNNNNNNNNNNNNAAAAAAAAAAAAAAAAAACAAGGAUAUAAAGCUGAAAAAUAAGAAGAAAUAAUGCAGUGGGAUAAAAGAUCUGGUAACCAUAAAAAAAUUGAACUGUGAUGGCUUUUAUCUUCAGUUGUAGAGGUAGCUAAAAGGAACAAAUUUAAUGGGACAAGAAUGGUAUAAUAAAACAUCUUAUUUGAAGGUAUUCAAAUUUAAUGACUCAUAUUGCCAAUUGUUGAAUUGAAACUUUAACAGAUUCUUUUAGUAAAUCAAGCUUUAUGUGAUUCUGAAAUUAUAGAUGAACUGCUGCUAGCCAGUAAUUCAUUAUAGCUUUAUGAAUUUACUUUAAACUUUCUAUCUUUUCUCAUAUUAAAGGAUUUAUUUUCCAGAAUAGUGAAUGUCAGUUUUAACUUUAGCUCUGGGUUGCAGGACAUGCACAUGUUGCUGAAGCUCUUGGUGUGCCCCUUCACAUUUUCUUCACAAUGCCUUGGACGUGAGUCUUGAUUAUAUUUUCUAUAUUUUCUCUAUAUUAUGUGUAGAAUAUAUAGUGUUUUGAAUAUCUAAUAUCUAAUAUUUUCAAUUAAUUCUUCUAAAAGUGAUAUACUGCUGCUUUUUAUUAUUUAUUAUGCUAUUUUCAAUUUUUUUUUUGAUGUGAUGGAUAAAAUUUGUACUUAGGAUAACAAGAGCAGAACCAACUUUCACUUAUUUACACAAGUUUUCUUUAUUAUGUGUAAUGCAUUAAUGAUUCUGCUUUCAAAAAAAAAAAAAAAAACCAUUCAUAGGACUCUUGGAUAUAUGUGGUAUAUCAAUAACAACAACAAAGCCUUUGUCCCAAAACUUUGGGGUCAACUGUGGAUCCUCAACAGAUUAAUUAGAGACUAACUGGGGAUGUUCACAUAUAUUCUUUUAUGUCAUUCUAUUAUAUCCAAAAUAAUACUCUUUUUCCCCUCCAUAAUUAACAUGUCCCUUUUUUACUUUUACUAGUAUUAUUUCUAGUCUUCCUCUAUCUCUUUUGAUUACCUUAUCUUGAAUCACAUCACUAUUCCUCAUUGGUGCAUUGAUCUCUCUCCUUUGCAUGUGGACAAACCAUCUGAAAGAACUCUCCCUCAUCUUUUCAUCAAUGGGAGCCACCCUAUCUUAAUUGAAAAUAUAUGCUGGCAUUAGGACAUUGACAUGAUGAAAACAUUAGACAUGAUAACCUGUAAGAAUAGCAGUUCCAACAUUUUUUUUUUUUUGGUGAGGUAGGGGGGAGUCUUUGUCACAUAUAUUGGAUCAGUGUUUUGAGCCGGAGAGGAGUGAAAAAAAAAAAAAAAAAUCAAGAGUAGUUUUGAAUUUCAAAAGCAUCUUAUGUUCAUUCAGUGCUGGUUUAUUUUAUCAAAAUUUAUAUUUUAAGUUAUACCCUCUUACGUCUGUUUUCAAUAGGCAGGCCAACUUAUGAAUUCCCUCAUCCAUUGGCACGUGUACCUCAAAGUGCUGGUUAUUGGGUAUGUUCCUAGUUGGCUGCUACAUCAUUUAAUUUCAUUGAAGGAACUGUUGGAAUGAUUUCAUCAACAAUUCUGAUUCCAUUUGUCCUUGCUAUAUCCAGCUUUCAUAUAUAGUUGUGGAUUUACUGAUAUGGUGGGGCAUGAGGGGAUAUAUUAACGACUUCAGGAAACGGAAGUUGAAACUUGCUCCUAUUGCGUACUUCAGUACAUACCAUGGGUCAAUAUCUCAUUUGCCAACAGGCUAUAUGUGGAGUCCCCAUCUAGUGCCAAAGCCAACAGGUAGGGAUUUUCUUGAUUGUUCAAGAAUGUAUGGUAAACAUAGCGUAUAAGAUGAUUAUUUUUUUGGUUUCAGUAUUUGGUCAUUACAUUCUAUUGAAGAAUGUUAUAUGGUUGUUAAGAGUCAUUUUGCAUAUCAUAGAAGGAUGAAUGUUCAGUCAAUCAUCUCCUGCUCAGUCAAUUAUAUUAGAGUGAUCAUCUAGUGAUCUUGUAGUAUUACUAUGUCCUUGGGCUCAUACUAGCUCUUAGAUGGUUUGACAAAACUUUUUCCUUUCCAGAUGUGUUCUGUUGUCUGUUUUAUUCUCGUUGGUUUUGAAGAUUUUUGCAUCUCUUAACAUGAACCAUUUUUCAUACUGGAAAUUGGACUUUCAUAUAUUGUAAUGGUAGCAAUAUGAGAUAUACUAUUCACACUCCCAAAAUCAAAUUCGUAUUAUAAGUCAGUUCUUCCCCCCCAUAAUUUUAUGUACCGACAUCAAUAUGGGUAUUUUGUGUUGUAAAAGGACUAAAAGUAAAAGAGGUCAUCAGUUUGUUCUUGUUAAUUGAACUAGGAUGUGGAUCAGUUUAUAAAUAAAUCUCUUCCCCAUUCCCCUCCACCUCACCCAAAUAAGAUGAAUGUUCUAGGCAUCAAACAUAUUCUAGCUACUUCUCUCUUGGAAACUAUCAAUGAUUUUGAACAUUUUGUCAGUCUCUUUUCCACACCUCCAUAAACAGUAUUUUGUUGUUUUGGAGGGGUCCAUCACUUGCAAUGUGUUCCAAACUUUAGUAUAGAUGAACAAAUCACAGCAGGUCAAGUUUGAUGAUCUGGAGAUUGCUUUCAGUUGCAACAGUUAAGAGAGAACUUUUUGUUUGAUUAUAGAAUGGCAGUAUCUUUGUUAGACACUUAGUUGACAUGUUAUGAGAAUGAAAAAAACUUUAUCUGUACACUGUACUGUAGUAACUUGAUGACCUAAUAGUUUAUUAUCGAUUUGAGAUGGGCCACACAGCCAAUACUCCCACUUCUGCAACCUUCUUUCCAAGCAGAUAAAUCAAGAGAUCCUAGCAUGGUUUCCUCUUUUCACCACUUGAGCCAAGGAAGAGGAGCAUGCAAUGGAUUAAUUUCCUACUUCACAAGGGGGAAGUGUUAGAAUAAUAGUUAAGUAAUUAAAUUCAUCAUUUUCUAUCAGUUUAAGCUUUUGGGACUAGUAGUAGUUUAUCAUUGUAUCAAAGUAAGUGGUCCUGAGUUUGAACCAUGUUUUCACACUCUACCUCUAUUUUAAAGUAAAAAAUUCUACACUUAAACUUUUGUGAGUAUUGGUAAUUUACUACAGAUAUAAUCUUUUGCACAUACUCAUGAUCAAUUACUAGUGCUUAGAGCUAAAAUUUAAACUAUUCAUGGUCUUAAUAAUAUCUAUGAAAACUCACUUAGUGUAUAAAAAACUUGUGAAUGUUUAGAACCCAAAAACAAAUUUUCUAAUACAAGCUUAUAUUCAAACAAUAUAUGUGCGGAAUAUGAAAUAUAAGCAAUGCCUAAAUUAGCAAACUACUCUAAGCCAUUAAUUAAUCACAACAAGAAGAAAUCAAAAGCUAAGAGUAAGGAAAAGAGAGAUGUAAACACAAGAUAACAUAGUCAUGUGUUAUCAAAGAGAAAACCAAAUAAUUCGGCAAAAAACCUCUCCGCCGCACUCAAAACAGUAAAUGAUCAACUAAAAAAUAAGUUGGGAUACAUGAAUAACAAUAGAUACUCCAAGCCUAAUCUACCCAAUUCACCUAAGCCCUCCAAGCUUCUUGCUCUAACAAGGUUAUGCCGAACAGUGUCUUCUCUAGAUUUCCGGAUCCCGCAAUUAACUCAUUGCAUCAACCAAUAUGAAUUGGUUCUCUAUUAAACUGCUUCCCAAACACCAAAAACCUUCUCAAUACUAUGAAUUUGAUGAGGUAAGAAUUUGGUUUAUGAUCCUCUCAUGGAUAUGAUAAUGGAGAGGGUGAAAGUAAAGAAAUUUGAAGAAUCAAGUGUAUAAAAUUGUGGAUGAAUCAAUUUUGUUUUUCUCUAGGGUUUCUCUAUCAAAAUUCUAUCUAAAAGCUUUCUACAUUUCAUGGGUAUAAGGGUAUUUAUAGUAGGAUAAGAGAUGGAAUGUGAAAAGUCACUUUUCAGCAAAAAAGGGUGCACUGGCGAGUCACUCGCGACUAAGAUGAGUCGCGAGUUACCAGACUAGGCCAGACUAUACUUUUUGUUAUGUAAUGAUCUAGCUGGCCAGACACUUCGUAUUCUUGCAUGCUUCUCACGUGAGCUUCAUUUUGGCGAGUCACCACUCACGACUCAAUCGUGAGUACAGUCGUGAGUCACCUUUUUAUUGCAAGAUCAAAUUUUUAUAAUAUCUCACACACAACUCUUACAUAAUUCCCACCUAAAUACUGAGUUUCUAAAUGCUGAAUUACAAGCAAAUUUGGCAUAGAAUAAAGCCAACACAUAGUUGAAUAAAUUCAAUUUUACAAUUUGGAAUGAUCAACCCGAAUAUUUAUGUUCAUAAAUAUCAAAUUUAUUAGAAGAAUUGACUUCACUCACUAAUUUGCAGAUUGGGGCCCUUUAGUUGAUGUUGUUGGUUUUUGUUUCUUAAACCUUGGGUCAAAGUAUCAGCCUCAGGACAAGUUUGUUCAAUGGAUUCAAAACGGACCUGAACCUAUAUAUAUUGGGUUUGGGAGCAUGGUAUGGUGACCUCUCAAAACUGUUGGUGAAUUUAUUUAGAUUUUCAAAUUUUUUUUUUUUUUUUUGCUUGACAUGUUGAUGUGUCCUUAACCUGGAUAUGAUGAUUUAAUAGAAUAGUUUCAUACUUUCAUGUCACCUGAUCUACAUCACUAGUUUGUCCUAUAGAAUUUCUAUAGCAUGUAUUUUGUUCUAUAUGUUCUCUAGAUUUUCUAUAGAUUUUUAUUUUUUAAUGUUCUUAUCUUAUUAAUAUCUAAAUUUGAAAUACUGUGAUAUUACUCAUAGAGAUUAAAUGCACCAGUUACUUUAUGAAUUGGCCAGUCUUUAGUGUGAAUGAGUCCUGGAUGGGGCUUGACAUUGUAUUUCCUUGGGCUUGAUUCGAUAGAUUUGUUUAUAAUUUUUUGGCUACAGUAACUAAGGGCAACUGAUCAUUAUAGAAUGACUUUAGCAAUAAACAUGGAGGAUCAAGUAUACUUUUCAACUGAUGUCACUAUCAGUACUUGUAUCUAUUGUAUUACUUGGUCAAUAAUAUGUCAAAAGAAGUUAGAUAUGAACUGUUUUAGAUAACUUAAGCAAGGACAAUGCUUGUAUUUUUUGACCAAAUUUUUGGGUUAGUAACUUGAGACAAUUCCAUUUCAAAAUAGUUUACAACUACUUCCCCUUGUGAUGCGUAUUAGCUGAUAUCAUUGUACAUGAAAAAUAUUUUCAUUACUACGUAUAUACAUGAUGGACAAAUUUGAUUUGAAAUGAAUUUUCAAUUGCACUGUUUAUACACUGUUUAUAACCAGAACUAUUGUUGUUAGUUAUUUUACGGCCUUAGCAGCCAUGUCAUCCUAAUAACCCAAGAUCCAUGAUGUGGUGCAUUUUAACUGAAAUCCUUGAACAUGAAAAAUAAAAGCUUUUGGGAUAUGAUAAAUUUAAUCAUUUAACCACACAAUUAUUACACACCCCCUCACGUCUGGGCCCAAAUUCCUCUUAAGAGGUGAGGCCCAACACGUGGGAAUUUAAUAGGUGAGGCCCACUAUUCUAUUAGUAAAUUACAUGAUGGACAAAUCUGAUUUGACUGAGUUUCCAAUCAUAAUUUGUCUUAACACUGUUAUUGCCAGAACUAUUAUUAGUGUUUGUUGUUGUUAGUUAUCUUUCUGCCUUUGCAUGGACAGAAAUCUUAAAUUUUCUUCCUUCAUAUCUCUGCGUACCUUACAUGGAAUAGUGGAUUGUGAUUCUUCUUAUCAUUUGUGCUGAUAAAAAUGUCCCAUCAAUGUUUGGAUUGGGAUAGUAUUUUUUCAAGUUUGCAUCAAUCAGGGUGACUUUAAUAUAUUUGUGGCAGAUGGCUUUCCUUUAAUUUUUUUUAUUUCGUUUUUUUCUUUUCCUAUCAUACUGGCUUUCCUUUAAUUUUUUUUAUUUCGUUUUUUUCUUUUCCUAUCAUACUAUUCAUGCCUAUCAAUAUUGACAUUAAAUUUUAUGUAUUGGUUAUAUUAUUGGCUAUGUACGAUUUGCUUGUUCUUUAUCAAAUUUUGGAGAAACUAUAUUGAUAAAUAUUUUUUUGGGACUAAAGCUUGUGUUGUUGUUGAUAAUGCUUUUGUUAAGCCUCUUGAAGAUCCCAGGAAAACCACAGGCAUUUUAUUGGAGGCAUUAAAAGGUACAGGGCAGAGAGGAAUCAUUGACCGAGGCUGGGGAGGUCUUGGAAAUUGUAUGUAAUUUUAAUUUGGUUGAGAACAGUUCUUUUACUUGCCUGUAUAUUUCUUCCAAAUUCACACUCGUAGGUUGUAAGAACAAAUUCUUGGUUAGACAAUGCAAACAAUUCUACAACCUAGAGGGAAGUACUUUUUAUUGUCUUUUAUUAUUUACUUUUUUCAGUGAGCAAAGUACUUUUUACUAUCUCAACAGUCAAAUUGCACUUUUUUGGAUAUGGGUUCAUAGGAUGAACUAGGGAGGACAUAAAACUAAGUAGGCUGUCUAUGGAAUCACACCCUAACCUAUAACAAGUUAACAACUACUAUAAACUUUACCAGAUAAAGUAAUUGUAGUGAAGUGGAUUAUAUUCCAAGCGAAAACGAUUUUAUUUGAAAGAGAUGAAAAGAGCAAUUUUUCCUAAUUUUGGAGGUGUUUGACAAAUGACAACUAAAGAUGAAAUAAAAUCAUAUCAAGUUUAUUAGAAUAUAUAGCCUAUACAAGCUAACUGCAAAACUAAAACAAAUUUUAAAUUGAGCUAGACAAAUUGCAUGUUAACCUAAACCAGUUCUAACUUGAGCCUAGUCAAACUGGAUGUAAAAUAAAACUAGUUCGAAAUUGAUCUGGUUUUGUUUUAGUUCAGAUUAUAUUAUAACUAACAAAAACUAGUUCAAAAUUGGACAAGAUAUCUGCUGUAAAAAUGAACUUGGAAAGGAUGAGAAUCUAUCCCUUGAAGCCUUGAUACAUAUCUUUAGGAUGCUCUAAAAGGUGAAUUCCUCAAGUAUUAUUGAUGACUUGAUAAUUCAGCAUGUUACUCUUUAGCUUAUGCUCCUGUGGAGUUUUUGAGGGUCUCAAAGAUUGUAUGCAUGCUGCGAAAGGUCUUCAAUUGUUCUUAGUUAUAUUGUUCUUUUCUUCAUAAUUACCUAUGACACCUAUGAAUCUUUAUAUUACAAGUCUAUCAUGUGCCAAGUUUUAAAUUAGUUUUAAGACAGUUCCUUUUCGCUACCCUAUAGUUUCUUUAUUUUCCCUUUAAACCCCUUCACAUUUUUCUUGUUAGAAAAUUAUACUUUCUCUCUCUCCCCCUCUCUCCCCCUUUCCAUAGACAACCAUCUCUCAUUAUUAUUUGAUAUGUUUAAUUUCUUUAUUGAAGAACAAAUCAAUGAUACUUUGUAUGUCAAUGCAUAUUCUUUAUUGAUACUUUCCAAAAAAUAGUUUUGGUUUCAUAUAUUUUGAGUGAUAAGCAUGCAUUAUUACUCUAAUAAUUCUUUGUCUUUUGCAGUUACAGAGGUUCCUGAUAAUGUUUUUCUUUUAGAGGAAUGCCCUCAUGAUUGGUUGUUUCCCCAAUGUUCUGCAGUGGUUAGUUUCACUUUAUGUUUUGCAUACUAUGAUUAUGUAGAAAUUAAGUGAAUUUUGCAUGAUUCAAUUAAGAUAAAUAAUAAUACCACAAUUCUAUGUGCAGAGCAACUGGAGAACUGCUAUAUGAUUAUCAAUGUUAGAAUAUUUGUAAAAUGAUUAAAUGUACUCUUUUCUAUCAGCUUAAUUUUUUGUGAUAAGUGGUAAUUUUUAAUUAUCGAAGUAAGUUGUAUUGAGUUCAAACCUAUGAAGCUUGGGUGCGGAUUCGGAUUUGGGUGCAGAUGUGGGAAUCGGCAAUUUUUGAAAAAGUAUGGUACGGGUGCGGCGGGAUACGUUUACUAAUAAAUUAUUAAAUAUAUUUUCAUAUAAUGGUAAACAUAUAUCAAUUUAAAAGUAAUAAUAACUACAAAUAAUUCAGUAAUUUCAAUUUAAGUUGUUUAACCUACAAAUAAUUUGACAUAAGUUAAUAACUAAAUAAGAAACCAAGUCAAGUUUUUAUUUUAUUUUAUUUUUUUAACAUGUAUUUCAGUCAGUUUCUCGGCCAAUUUCGGCUGGUUUCGACCGGAAUUGGAUCGGCGUGAAAAAAAAAAAAAAAAAAAAAAAAAAAACACACACAGACACACACAAAUCUGCGCGUUGCCGGGUGUCUGGUGCUGGUGCGGGUGCGGCAGCCCUGGAGCUGCACCCGUGCUUUCUAGGUUCAAACUCUAUUUCAGUUCUAUCACCUAAUUAAAAGGUUACUCAACAUGUUAGGUCUAACUUAUUGAGGGGGAGUUAAGUCACACAUGACAGGCAAUGUCAAAAUAUCAAUUAAUGAUUAAAUUCACAAUUUCUUAUCUGCUGAAGUAUUUGGGAUGAGUAAUCUUAACAAUCUUUUAGAAAUCUGUAAUUGCAUCACCUGACUUUUUUUUAUAGAUAUGGUAUAAUGAGGGAGCUAUAUAUACAAGAUUUUUUAAUCAUAAAGUUCACUUAUGUGAAAGAGACCUUGACUGGAUGUUGAAUUGCCACAUAUAUGCAGGUUCAUCAUGGUGGUGCAGGAACAACAGCUACAGGGCUAAAAGCUGGGGUAAUGUACUUUUCAAGUAGGGUUUUACUGAUGUUUCUGAAUUGUGUCUGAGUUUGGAAUUAAUCUGAAUGUUUCAAUAUCUUUGGGAUAUUUUAUUGUCAUUAGAUUUUUUUUAAUGACAUUAAUGGAAUGAGUCAAUUUAUAUGAUGUAAAUAUGUAAUAGGAAAUGAAAUUAAGUUAUAUGAUUGCUUGCCUAUCUCUGAGCUACAUGAUUCAACUUCAUUUGGAAUCAAAUUCGUUCUUUAUUUCUUUUAUGAUAAUUAAUCACUUAUGAAGUACAGUGUAUUUAUUUAUAUGUGUGUCUAAUGCCUAACUUAUGAACUACAGUGUCCAACAACCAUAGUUCCAUUUUUUGGUGAUCAGUUCUUCUGGGGUGAUAGAGUACAUCAAAAAGGGUUGGGACCUGCACCAAUUCCGAUAGCUCAGCUCAGUGUUGAGAGCCUCUCAAAUGCAAUAAAUUUCAUGCUCCAGCCUGAGGUAAUUCUGAUGUCUAUAUUUGCAUCAUCUCCUGCAGGAUCACAUAUAUAAUUAUAAUUAAUUACAGCAGCCAUUUUUAUAUCAUCUCAAGUUAGUCAUUUAUUGGUACGAUCUUAGAUAGGAUAGAAUGGCGGAAAUGUUAUGUGACCCACACGAUUAGUUGAAAAUCGAUCCAUGAAGCUGAUACCGAUCUCAAUUUAGAUGGGAUUAUGGCUUAAUUGGAUUGUUCUGAGUUGAGUGUGCAAAAGCUGUCUUUUAAUAAAAAAAAUGCUUUAUUUAUCACACAGAUUUCUCCAAAAAGAUAUCGCAUCUAAAAACUAAAAAUUUGCAUAUUGGCUAAUUCCACCAUUGGUAGAAAAUUUAAAGUUGAGGAAUAUGCAAUGUUAUGUACCUGUAUUGUAGCUCAUUUUAGCACACAGAUUUCUUUCUUUACUUAUUUCCCCUAAAAAUGUUUGUUCUAUUCUUUUUAAUGGAAAAUAAAAAGAGUAAUAGUCUAAAGAACUGAAUGAGUGUCCCUUGUCAUCUUAUUGCAUGAGUCUCAUCAGUUUGUUCCUUGAUUCUAGUCUGACAGAUAUACUUUAACGGGAAGUCACAUUGCUAAUGUGAGACAUGUUUUGGUUCUUAAUGGGAUAACACUUCCAGGUGAAAUCUGAAGCAAUGGAACUAGCAAAGUUGAUAGAGAAUGAAGAUGGUGUUGCGGCUGCUGUUGAUGCAUUUCACCGGCAUUUACCUGCAGAGCUACCCUUGCCUACUGCAUAUUUGGAGGAAAAAGAACAAUUAAACCCUCUGCAGUGGUUUUUUAUUCAAAUUGGGAAGUGGUGCUGCCUGCCUUGUGGUUUGUAG
rnacentral:sRNA from 1 species